rnacentral:rRNA from 1 species
UACGAAGGGUGCAAGCGUUACUCGGAAUUACUGGGCGUAAAGCGUGCGUAGGUGGUUUUUUAAGUCCGUUGUGAAAGCCCUGGGCUCAACCUGGGAAUGGCAGUGGAUACUGGAAAGCUAGAGUGCGGUAGAGGGUAGUGGAAUUCCCGGUGUAGCAGUGAAAUGCGUAGAGAUCGGGAGGAACACCAGUGGCGAAGGCGACAUCCUGGACCGGUAUUGACGCUGAGGCGCGAAAGCCAGGGGAGCAAACGGG